UGUAACUGACGCUGAGGAGCGAAAGCGUGGGGAGCGAACAGGAUUAGAUAUCCCUGGUAGUCCACGCCGUAAACGAUGAGUGCUAAGUGUUAGGGGGUUUCCGCCCCUUAAUGCUGCAGCUAACGCAUUAAGCACUCCGCCUGGGGAGUACGGUCGCAAGACUGAAACUCAAAGGAAUUGACGGGGGCCCGCACAAGCGGUGGAGCAUGUGGUUUAAUUCGAAGCAACGCCAAGAACCUUACCAGGUCUUGACAUCCUCUGACAAUCCUAGAGAUAGGACGUCCCCUUCGGGGGCAGAGUGACAGGUGGUGCAUGGUUGUCGUCAGCUCGUGUCGUGAGAUGUUGGGUUAGGUCCCGCAACGAGCGCAACCCUUGAUCUUAGUUGCCAGCAUUCAGUUGGGCACUCUAAGAGUGACUGCCGUUGACAAACCGGAGGAAGGUGGGGAUGACGUCAAAUCAUCAUGCCCCUUAGGACCUGGGCAACACACGUGCUACAAUGGACAGAACAAAGGGCAGCGAAACCGCGAGGUUUAGCCAAUCCCACAAUUCUGUUCUCAGUUCGCAUCGCAGUCUGCAACUCGACUGCGUGAACCUGGAAUCG
rnacentral:rRNA from 1 species